rnacentral:rRNA from 1 species
GUCCACGCCCUAAACGAUGUCAACUAGUUGUUGGGGAAGCAAUUCCUUGGUAACGCAGCUAACGCGUGAAGUUGACCGCCUGGGGAGUACGGUCGCAAGAUUAAAACUCAAAGGAAUUGACGGGGACCCGCACAAGCGGUGGAUGAUGUGGUUUAAUUCGAUGCAACGCGAAAAACCUUACCUACCCUUGACAUGUCUGGAAUCCUGCUGAAAGGUGGGAGUGCCCGAAAGGGAAUCAGAACACAGGUGCUGCAUGGCUGUCGU